rnacentral:rRNA from 1 species
CAGCCGCCGCGGUAAAACGAAGGGGGCUAGCGUUGCUCGGAAUGACUGGGCGUAAAGGGCGCGUAGGCGGUUUUGACAGUCAGAUGUGAAAUUCCUGGGCUUAACCUGGGGGCUGCAUUUGAGACGUCAAGACUAGAGUGUGAGAGAGGGUUGUGGAAUUCCCAGUGUAGAGGUGAAAUUCGUAGAUAUUGGGAAGAACACCGGUGGCGAAGGCGGCAACCUGGCUCAUUACUGACGCUGAGGCGCGAAAGCGUGGGGAGCAAACAGGAUUAGAUACCCCCGUAGUCCCUGUCUCUUAUAC